rnacentral:misc_RNA from 1 species
AGUUUAAAGAUGGGUUACAUCAAUUACAUUCGAUUUAUGGAUAUGAGUUUAUGUAGAGCAGACGGACAAGCCCCGAAAAAAAAGGCUUCCCCGUCUCACGAGUGCACAGGUGUAUGUGGAUGAAAGAGAAGGCGUGCACAUGCCCCUUCCGGAAGAAAAGGCCAGCGACAACCGACUCUAGGUUCAUUCAUUAAUGAUCCUUCCGCAGGUUCACCUACGGAAA